AUCUCUCUCUGGAGAUCACUUCUCUUGGAGUAUAGGACGUGGGUUGUCCCUAUAAUUUACAAAUACAUUUUUCAGACCAGUGAUGAACUGUCUUAAAGAAGAAAUCAAGCUGAAAAAUACUUGCGCAAGACUAAAAACAGAUGAUUUUUGAUCACAAGACUAGUAUGGUACAGCUCUACGUUCCCACCCAUUCAAGUCAAAGAUGACAGGCCUAAGUCAGGCAGUACUGUGGAGCACUGUGACAGCCUUCUCCUUUUAGUUAGUUGAAAUGAAAGCAUCACUGGAGUCAGAGGCCAGGGAAACUGAUAUUCUUGAAAUGAUACUUCCCUGAACCCGUGAUUUUAUUGAUGGUCUUGUACAAUUCAUAAUCCUCUGGAAUGUUAUGGGCUACUCAGAGAGGUUGUAGAGUCUCCUCUGCAGGUACCCAAAACCAGCCUGGAUGCUUUCCUUUGCAACAUACUCUAGGAAACCUGCUUUAGCACAGAAGUCCCUUCUAACCCCUAUGAUUCUGCCAGUCUGUGAAUACUGAUUCAAGAGAGCAGAAAGUUAAAGCUGUCCCUAGUCUUGCUGAUCUUCAUAGGUACCAAGGAGAACACGAAGGUGGUCUGCAUUGGAAAACUAUAUGGAAAGGCUUGGUUGUCUUAGCAUUGCGUGUUUGAUAUCUUCACUGUAUUUUGGCAACAAUUUAUUUUACGAGUAAGUAGUGUGAAUAUUUGCAUAGUUAUAAUAAACGUAUCUCUGUGUCAUAGUGGAGUAGAAAAUACAUUCAAUUCAUAAAAAUCUACUAGAUCAUUAUAUAUGAUAGUGUUAGAUUAAAUUCAGUUUUUAUAGCUUAGGAAAUGCAGAUUUGAGGCUGAAAGUUCACUCCUGAAUCAUCCUGUUUAACAUGACAGUUCUCAAUACUGAGCCUAAUCACGGGCUCCAGCAGAUACAGACGUGGUGGUCUGAGACUUAGGACAGUGAAAGAACAGAAAUCUUUGGGUUCCUUUGGCUCUGAUAAUCAGGCUUAUGCUUAAUCAUGAGUUAAUGGAAUCUUAAAUGCUCACAAAAAUUAUGAGCAAUAGCAUAGCAACCGCGAUUAGUUUGUUCCUUAGCUGUGUAAAGUACUCUUUGUGUUCUUAGCAAAGAAGUGUCAGAGGACAUUCCCUCUGCUAGAGUUUUCUUCAGCUAAUAUGAAAGCUGUCAACUUGUUGUAUUUUUAGAUUUCAUGGUACAGAGCAGUCUGUGAGUAUGAAGGAAAGGACUACAGUGAGAUUUGGCUGUUCUUUGUU
ensembl:lncRNA